CCUGGAACACAGGUAGAUACAGCUCCCCUUUCACCUACCCUCAGGGUCACACACACUCAGGAGCUGGCCACCUUCACAUACUGCACAUCUGUUAGUCAUUUUCCCCUUUGGUGUCUCCAUUUGGAUUCACUUUGGUUUGAUUUCACCAGUUUAAGAAUAUAGGAGGAGUGUAAGGAAAAGACUGUAGGCACUUCUAAUCAGAAAACUGAUCGAAGUUGAUUCUUUGCAGGGGAAGGGGGAGGCAUUGAAACCCACCCCCCAAAAAAAAACCAGCACCAUUUCAGUUAUCUGCUAUCUAACAAACCACUGAAAAUGUAGUAGUUUAAAGCACCAAUCCUGUGGGUCGAGAAUUUGGACGAGGCUCAGAGAAGACAUCUUGGCUCUUUCCCACCUGAUAACAGCUGCCCUCAGCUGGGGCUGCGCUGGGCUGCAAGUUCCAACAUUGACUCAUGUCUGGGCUCCAGGGGCUCUCACCCUCAAUGCUUCCAUUCUUCAUGUGGACACUCUCUACUGGAGACAUCUCAUCCUCCAAAGUAGCUCUGUCCACGUGGCUUUUCUCUCCAGCACCCUAACCCGGACUUGAUAUAAAUAGUCAGUCACUAUGCUGUGCAUUGGACCCCCAGAACUUACUAAUCUUACAGUAGAAGUUUAUACCCUGUGACCUCCUCCACCCACUCCUCUCAGCCCUGCCCUGGCAACCACCAACUAUUCUCUAUUUCCUUAAAGUCUUUUUUUUUUUUUUUCUUUCAGCAGCACCCAUGGCAUGUGGAAGUUUCUGACCUGGGAAAUAAACCUGCGCCUUAGCAGUGACCUGAGCCACACCAGAUCCUUAACCCACAGGCCACCACCAGGGAACUCCUAUAAAUUCAUGGGGUUUUUAGGUUUGUCUCAUGAGAUCAUACAGUAUUUGUCUUUCUCUAACCUAUUUCACUUAGUGUAAUGCCCUCAAAGUUGAUUCAUAUUGUUAGAAAUGGCAGGAUUUCUUUCUUUAUGGCUAAUUAAAAGGUCUCUUAAAACCUAGUCUUGUAAGCAGACAGGGCAGGGAUUCCUGGAGAAAGAGAACCAGGCUUUCCUGACAUUAGAGAAGCCAUUUUUGGCCUAAGCCAUUUGUGAUCUAAGCCUGGCCAUGAUGCUUGCCCUUGGACAGGUCUCAGUAAUAACCAUCUUAAGAGAACAAAAGAACAAACCAUUAUCAGACAAGAGACAUGACAAUAGCAAAGAUGAUUAACCAGUUGUAAAGACUCCCAGUCCUGCUUCAAUGGGAAAGGCUGGUCUGAAACACUUUCUUGAGCCAUUGUGCAGAAUUUUAACACCCCUUCAAAUCAACUGGAACCUGAGGGAUGAUAAUGUUGACCUUUUCUGACCCUUAAGACUUCACUUAACUAAACUCGAACAAAUAUUUGUUGACUGGUUAAGAGAGAAGAUCAGGAGAAUCCCAGCCUCCAGACCUGGUUAUUUCUCCCACUAAGUGUUGUCAGGAGAUGGGAGGGAGCUAGAAAGGAAAAGAGUCACAUGCCCUCCUCUGGCUAUCUUGGCACUUAGGUCGGUUCCUUAAUGGCUGGGGCUGGGGGGAGGUGGGGGCUGGUCUUUAGAGCUGCGCUGAUUGGUCACAAGGGAAAAUGAAAUAAAAUGUACGUAUGAGUCCCUGGGUAACCCGGUUAAAAUGCAGAUCUAGAUUCAUUAGGUCUGGGGUGGGACCUGAGAUUCCAAAAGUUAAUGACUCUGCUGGCACUCAAACAGGAUUUAAGUAGCAAAGCACUAAGGCAUCCCUGUUUUCAGAUAAGUAACUCAGAGCACAUGGCUAGAGCUGGGUCUUGCAUCAGUAUCCUGAGAGAGGGAAGCUAUUAUUAUUCAUCUAAGUUAUGAGAAAACUCACAAUUGGGAAUCAUACAUACAGCCCUGGCAUAUCACUAGCUUGAUUUUUUUCACAAUUUUUUUUCAAAUCUCUUAAAUGUCCAUUUUUUGUUUGUUUCACUAGUUUGAUUCACCCCCUCAUGAAAAGAAGAAACGAGCUUUUACAAAUAACUCAGGGACAAAAGUCAACAAAACUCUCAUAUGUUGGCCCCUGCUAAUGUCACAUCACUAGAAAUAUCCUUGAGCUAUUCCUGUUUUAUUAUUUUAUUUUUUGCUUUUUAGGGCCACACCCACAACAUGUGUAUGUUCCCAGGCCAGGGGUCAAAUAAGAGCUACAGCUGCUGACCUAUACCAACACCAGAUCCAAGCCGCUUCUGUGACCUACACCACAGCUCACAGCAACGCCGGAUCCUUAACCCACUGAGCAAGGCCAGGGAUCCAACCCGCAACCUCAUGGUUCCUAGUAGGAUUCGUUUCUGCCUUGCCACAACGGGAACUCCGAGCUAUUCCUGUUUAAUUGCUGUCCACAUCAUCCUGCAUUCCACCCUCACCAAGACAUCAUCCUUCGUGGUCACCUGUCAAAUUUAGACCUUUUGAGUAUCCUUCCUAUGUUUGGGCAAAUCCCACAUUACAAGUCUUUCUACCCUAAAUAGCAACCAGGAUGACUCAAUUCUGUUUCACUUUUGCUCAGAAAAGCUGCACCCCAGCAUGGCUGUGAUCUGGAGCUCCCCCAGCCACCCCCCACCCCCCAUCCUGAGAAUCUGAUCAAGAAGACAACAGGGGAAGAAACAGUCUCUUAACAGAAUUCGUGGUUGUAGUUGACAGUUUCUGUGUGCAACCACAGGAGGUUUUCGAAACUGCUGGCUCUGGAGUUCCCACUAUGGAUCGACAGAAUCAGUGCCAUCUUGGGAGCGCUGAGACACAGGUUUGAUCCAUGGCCCGGCACAAUGGGUUAAGGAUCCGGCAUUGCAGCAGCUGUGGCUUAGGUCAAAACUAUAGCUCGGAUCUGACCCCUGGCCCAGGAGGGAACUCCAUAUACCAUGGGGUGGACAAAAAAGGGGAAAAAGAAAAGUGCUCAGCCUUAUCCUUCCGAGGGUUUUUGAUGACAACCUUGAAUUAAUUGUUCUUCUUUUUAAACUGGCUAGAAUGGGAAACAAAGUGGCUUGAAUAAAACUACACAUUCUGCAUAACGCAAAGCCCUCGGGUGGGUGUUUCCAGGAUUGGUUAAUAGAGCCGUACAGAUACGGUACGCCACCAACGAUCCAGCUUCCUUACAUCUUCCAGGCAUGUUGACUUGUCCGUUGGGGCUGGUUUCUCUCCUAGUUACUACAGUCCUGGGUGCCUGCAGGUGACAACAUGCAGAAGCAGAAAGGGAAACCUCUCUGCAGUGUGGCUUUUCCAGAAGUUCCCAAGAGAUCUCACUUCUCUGGACUAGAAUUAUAUUACAUGUCUCUGCCUAAAGAGAUUAUUGGAUAGAGAGCAUGAGAGCACUGCAAUUGGUUAAAGUAACCAAUAUUCACCAUCUUGAGGAGUUCCUGUCAUGGCGCAGCAGAAGCGAAUCUGACUAGAAACCAUGAGGUUGCAGGUUCGAUCCCUGGCCUCGCUCAAGUGGGUUAAGGACCCGGCAUUGCAGUGAGCUGUGGUGUAGGUAACACGCAGCUCGGGUCCCAUGUUGCCGUGGCUGUGGUAUAGGCUGGCAGCAACAGCUCCGAUUUGACCCCUAGCCUGGGAACCUCCCUAUGCAACGAGUGCGGCCCUAAAAAGACAAAAGACCAAAAAAAAAAAAAAAAAAAAAAAUUCACCCAUUUGAGAUGGGAAAGGACACAGGCAGGGCCUCUGAAGGACAAGGCCAUUUGGAAGAGGGUCAAUAAAAGCAAGGUUGUUUGCAGAGAAGGGAUAGGUUAAGGUAAGCGACCAAGAGUCUGUCACAUUCACUUCUACCUGUUCAGUGCUCAGUGUCGUGCUGAGCACAGGACAGCGGUCAACCAGCAAGUGUUUAUGGAAGGGAGGGAGUGAAGGUGGGCCAAUGGAUGGGCCAUGAUCUCUUAAUUUUUAACCCCUUCCUUCCUUCUUACUGCCACUCCUCUCAUUUAACCCUUUAGCAUUCACUCCUCAUAACUUCAGUAGCCUCCCAGCUGGUCAGUAUACCUGUGUUAUCAAACCCAGAUCCUUGAGCCUACACAGUAACACUAGACAAACUGAAAUGGAGUUUGGAAUAGAGAAAUGCUUUUUGCAGGGCAAGCAAGGGAACGAGCAGCUAGUACUCAGAAGAACUGAACUCCCCAGUGGUUGUCAGGAAAAAGCGCUUUUUUUUUUCUUUUCUUUUUUUUGUCUUUUUAGGGCUGAACCUGUGGCAUAUGGAAAUUCCCAGGCUAGGGAUCAAAUCAGAGCUGCAGCUGCUGGCCUACACCACAGCCACAGCUAUGCAGGAUCUGAGAUGUGUCUGCGACCUACACCACAGUUCCCAGCAAUGCUGGGUCCUUAACCCACUGAGCGAGGCCAGGGAUCAAACCUGCAUUCUCACAGAUACUAGUGGGUUUUGUUACUGCUGAGCCACAGCAGGAACUCCAGGGAAGAGAUUUUAAAGGCAGAAUAUGAAGUGAGGACUGCAGGGUGUGUGACUAUUCUGAUGGAUGGUGGUAAGGUAACAGGGCAGUUGUCCAGGAGUCUUGUGCUCAGCAUGAAGUUACUGUUCUCCAUCUGGGUGGGGGCCUUAGUUCUUGUGGAAGAACUCAAAAGCAUAUUGUCAAAAUAUCCCUUGAGUAGGAAAUAGGACUCUGCUUUAUCACUGCACUAUUUUUUUUUUUUUUUUUUUUGGCCUGCAGAAGUCCCUGAGCCAGAGACCAAGCCCAUACCCCAGCAGUGAUCUGAGCCACAGCAGUGACAACACUAGAUCCUUAACCCACUGAGCCACCAGGGAACUCCUCACUAGUCUAUUUUGUGUCUAUUUUUCCUUUGUUCUGCAUUUCCUCCUUUCCCUAAUAAGUGACUGUUAGAAUCUGCCCUUUGGAACUCAGGGAAUGUCUAGGAGCCUGAAGCCUUUUUCUUACAAACGAGAAACAGGGAACACAGAAAGGCUUUUGUACCCAGGAGGGCCCCACAGGGUCCUAUUUGUUUUCACUUGCCUCAUGUUUUCCUUGCCCCUCUUUCACUCAUCUGUCUAAAUGCUAUGCACACUUCACCCAUAAAGACUUACCUGGUUACUCACAUCUACUGAGAUAAAAAUAACAGCAAUAACAUGUAAGCUUAUUGAACACUUAUAUGUAGGCACUGUACUAAAUGUUUAUAAUGCUUGAAGUUAAAAUAACCCAACUCGGAGUUCCCGUCUUGGCUCAGCAGAAACAAAUCUGAUUAGUAUCCAUGAGGACACAGGUUCAAUUCCUGGCCUUGCUCAGUGGGUUAAGGAUCUGGCAUUGCCCUAAGCUGUGGGGUAGGUCGCAGAUGAGGCUUGGAUCUGGUGUCGCUGUGGCUGUGGCAUAGAACAUUCGCUACAGCUCUGAUUCCACUCCUAGCCUGGGAACCUCCAUAUGCUGCUGGCGUGGCC
rnacentral:lncRNA from 1 species